GUCGAACGGUAACAGGAAGCAGCUUGCUGCUUUGCUGACGAGUGGCGGACGGGUGAGUAAUGUCUGGGAAACUGCCUGAUGGAGGGGGAUAACUACUGGAAACGGUGGCUAAUACCGCAUAACGUCGCAAGACCAAAGAGGGGGACCUUCGGGCCUCUUGCCAUCAGAUGUGCCCAGAUGGGAUUAGCUUGUUGGUGAGGUAACGGCUCACCAAGGCGACGAUCCCUAGCUGGUCUGAGAGGAUGACCAGCCACACUGGAACUGAGACACGGUCCAGACUCCUACGGGAGGCAGCAGUGGGGAAUAUUGCACAAUGGGCGCAAGCCUGAUGCAGCCAUGCCGCGUGUAUGAAGAAGGCCUUCGGGUUGUAAAGUACUUUCAGCGGGGAGGAAGGUGUUGUGGUUAAUAACCGCAGCAAUUGACGUUACCCGCAGAAGAAGCACCGGCUAACUCCGUGCCAGCAGCCGCGGUAAUACGGAGGGUGCAAGCGUUAAUCGGAAUUACUGGGCGUAAAGCGCACGCAGGCGGUCUGUCAAGUCGGAUGUGAAAUCCCCGGGCUCAACCUGGGAACUGCAUUCGAAACUGGCAGGCUUGAGUCUUGUAGAGGGGGGUAGAAUUCCAGGUGUAGCGGUGAAAUGCGUAGAGAUCUGGAGGAAUACCGGUGGCGAAGGCGGCCCCCUGGACAAAGACUGACGCUCAGGUGCGAAAGCGUGGUGAGCAGACAGGAUUAGAUACCCUGGUAGUCCACGCCGUAAACGAUGUCUACUUGGAGGUUGUGCCCUUGAGGCGUGGCUUCCGGAGCUAACGCGUUAAGUAGACCGCCUGGG
rnacentral:rRNA from 1 species